AUUGAACGCUGGCGGCAUGCCUUACACAUGCAAGUCGAACGGUAACGGGCCUUCGGGUGCCGACGAGUGGCGAACGGGUGAGUAAUACAUCGGAACGUGCCCGAUCGUGGGGGAUAACGAGGCGAAAGCUUUGCUAAUACCGCAUACGAUCUACGGAUGAAAGCAGGGGACCGCAAGGCCUUGCGCGGACGGAGCGGCCGAUGGCAGAUUAGGUAGUUGGUGGGAUAAAAGCUUACCAAGCCGACGAUCUGUAGCUGUUCUGAGAGAUGAUCAGCCACACUGGGACUGAGACACGGCCCAGACUCCUACGGGAGGCAGCAGUGGGGAAUUUUGGACAAUGGGCGCAAGUCUGAUCCAGCCAUGCCGCGUGCAGGAUGAAGGCCUUCGGGUUGUAAACUGCUUUUGUACGGAACGAAAAGCCUUCUUUUAAUACAGGAGGGUCAUGACGGUACCGUAAGAAUAAGCACCGGCUAACUACGUG
rnacentral:rRNA from 1 species